rnacentral:piRNA from 1 species
UGGCAGACUCAACUUCCCUGAA